rnacentral:rRNA from 1 species
GACGAACGCUGGCGGCGUGCUUAACACAUGCAAGUCACGGGGGCCCGCGAGGGCAACCGGCGAACGGGUGCGUAACACGUGAGCGACCUGCCUUUCCGCGGGGGAUAGCCGGCCCAACGGCCGGGUAAUACCGCAUACGCUGCUUUGGGGGCAUCCCUGAAGCAGGAAACCUCCGGGGCGGAGAGAGGGGCUCGCGACCUAUCAGCUAGUUGGCGAGGUAACGGCUCACCAAGGCGGCGACGGGUAGCUGGUCUGAGAGGAUGGCCAGCCACAUUGGGACUGAGAUACGGCCCAGACUCCUACGGGAGGCAGCAGUGGGGAAUAUUGCGCAAUGGCCUAACGGCUGACGCAGCGACGCCGCGUGUGGGAGGACGCCCCUCGGGGUGUAAACCACUGUUGCCCGGGACGAACAACCAGUUUGACUGGUCUGACGGUACCGGGUGAGGAAGCACCGGCUAACUCCGUGCCAGCCGCCGCAGUAAC